rnacentral:rRNA from 1 species
CGCGGCCUAUCAGCUUGUUGGUGAGGUAAAGGCUCACCAAGGCAUCGACGGGUAGCUGGUCUGAGAGGACGAUCAGCCACACUGGGACUGAGACACGGCCCAGACUCCUACGGGAGGCAGCAGUAGGGAAUCUUGCGCAAUGGGGGCAACCCUGACGCAGCAACGCCGCGUGUGGGAUGACGGCUUUCGGGUUGUAAACCACUUUCAGUGAUGACGAAAGUGACGGUAAUCACAGAAGAAGGUCCGGCCAACUACGUGCCAGCAGCCGCGGUAACACGUAGGGACCGAGCGUUGUCCGGAUUUAUUGGGCGUAAAGAGCUCAUAGGUGGUUUGUCGCGUCUGCUGUGAAAAUCCGAGGCUCAACCUCGGACCUGCAGUGGGUACGGGCAAACUAGAGUGCGGUAGGGGAGAUUGGAAGUCCUGGUGUAGCGGUGGAAUGCGCAGAUAUCAGGAGGAACACCAAUGGCGAAGGCAGAUCUCUGGGCCGUAACUGACGCUGAGGAGCGAAAGCGUGGGGAGCGAACAGGAUUAGAUACCCUGGUAGUCCACGCCGUAAACGGUGGGAACUAGAUGUGGGGUCCGUUCCACGGAUUCCGUGUCGCAGCUAACGCAUUAAGUUCCCCGCCUGGGGAGUACGG